AGCCAGUGAUGACAAACCUAAUUUCUUUCUGACACCUCAUAUGAGAGCUUCCAGCUCCUGAUUCAAACCUUUGUCUGAGGCUA
rnacentral:snoRNA from 1 species